CUCAUGCUUCAGCGCUCUGCGAGUGUUUAUAGUCCUGUGACUUUAACACUUCAUGACUGAGAGCUGCUGCUCAGCGACUUCACCCACAGCAACCAUGAGUUUGAUCAGCAUCUUCAUCUGCACACUGGCCCUCUGCGCUCGAGGAUCCAGAGGUCAGGUGACUGUGACUCAGAGUCCUGCAGUGAAAUCUGUUUCUCCAGGAGACACACUCACCAUCAGCUGUAAAACCAGUCCUGCUGUUUACCGCUGGAGUGGUGGAGAGGAAGAAUUACACUGGUAUCAGCAGAAAGCUGGAGAAGCUCCUAAACUCCUGAUCUAUCGUGCUAACAGAAGACAAUCAGGUAUUCCAGCUCGUUUCAGUGGCAGUGGAUCUGGAUCUGAUUUCACUCUGACCAUCAGUGGAGUCCAGACUGAAGAUGCUGGAGAUUAUUACUGUCAGAGUGCCCAUGUGAUCAGUAGUAGCGCGGUGUUCACACAGUGUUAG